GACGAACGCUGGCGGCGUGCUUAACACAUGCAAGUCGAACGGAAAGGCCCUGCUUUUGUGGGGUGCUCGAGUGGCGAACGGGUGAGUAACACGUGAGUAACCUGCCCUUGACUUUGGGAUAACUUCAGGAAACUGGGGCUAAUACCGGAUAGGAGCUCCUGCUGCAUGGUGGGGGUUGGAAAGUUUCGGCGGUUGGGGAUGGACUCGCGGCUUAUCAGCUUGUUGGUGGGGUAGUGGCUUACCAAGGCUUUGACGGGUAGCCGGCCUGAGAGGGUGACCGGCCACAUUGGGACUGAGGUACGGCCCAGACUCCUACGGGAGGCAGCGGUGGGGAAUAUUGCACAAUGGGCGGAAGCCUGAUGCAGCAACGCCGCGUGCGGGAUGACGGCCUGCGGGUUGUAAACCGCUUUAGCCUGUGACGAAGCGUGAGUGACGGUAAUGGGUAAAGAAGCACCGGCUAACUACGUG
rnacentral:rRNA from 1 species